rnacentral:rRNA from 1 species
UACGGAGGAUGCAAGCGUUAUCCGGAAUGAUUGGGCGUAAAGCGUCCGCAGGUGGCUGUGUAAGUCUGCUGUCAAAGAGCAAAGCUCAACUUUGUAAAGGCAGUGGAAACUACACGGCUAGAGUGCGUUCGGGGCAGAGGGAAUUCCUGGUGUAGCGGUGAAAUGCGCAGAUAUCAGGAAGAACACCCGUGGCGAAAGCGGCUCUCUGGGACGGUACUGACGCUGAGACGCGAAAGCGUGGGGAGCGAACAGG